rnacentral:rRNA from 1 species
GACGAACGCUGGCGGCGUGCUUAACACAUGCAAGUCGAACGAAGUGGCGAACGGGUGAGUAACGCGUAAUCAACCUGCCCUUCAGAGGGGGACAACAGUUGGAAACGACUGCUAAUACCGCAUACUGAAGGAGGGGAUUGCGUCUGAUUAGGUAGUUGGAGGGGUAACGGCCCACCAAGGCGAUGGUCAGUAGCCGGUCUGGGAGGGUGAACGGCUACAUGUGGACUUGAACACGGCCCAGACUCCUACGGGAGGGAGCAGUGGGGAAUCUUCCGCAAUGGGCGAAAGUCUGACGGAGCAACGCCGCGUGAGUGAGGACGGCCUUCGGGUUGUAAAGCUCUGUUAAUCGGGACGCGGUACCGGAAUAGAAAGCCACGGCUAACUACGUGCCAGCAGCCGCGGUAAUAC